rnacentral:lncRNA from 1 species
CAUUUUAAAUAGGAAGUUUCAAUAGAUCUGAAUUCUCCCUCUAGUUCUCCCUCAUGAUGUUUACAUUUACCUUUUUUUUUUUUUUUUUAUUUUAUUGCAGCCAGUCUUCGGAAAACAAAUGGAGAACUUCAGGAUGAAAACGCCAGUCUUCGGAAAACAAAUGGAGAACUUCAGGAUGAAAACGCCAGUCUUCGGAAAACAAAUGGAGAACUUCAGGAUGAAAACGCCAGUCUUCGGAAAACAAAUGGUAACAUUUCUGAUAUCCCAUCACCCCAGUGCUCUUGAGCCCCUCUGAAGCGACUGGUUCAGCCUUUCCUCUUGUCUGCCGUUUCAUCUGUUUCGCUUGUGUCGGCAUGCCUUUCUCUUGCACGUCCUGUCUACGAGCUCCACCUCAAUGUUUUGCGUGGGACUUGUCCCACGUUCCUUCUGUCCAUUUCUGUUUGCCUACCUCCUCUGCUCUGCCAUUCCUGCUCUUUGCAAUGCAUGCCAUGCCCUCCCGCUAAGGACUGGCUUUGCUUCGGUCUUUCAGGCACUUGCCACAGUUUCAUGAAGUUGGUGAGAUGCAAAGCAUUACGCAGAUAGGGAGAUGGUUUCUCUUCCACGUGUGUUUCUCAACAACAUCCAAACACAGGGGCUCUGUCGGGACUUCCAAGUCAGAGGGGCCAUUCCUGCACAAGGGAUAGCUCUUCAAAGACUUAAGAGAUGGGAGAUGGC